CCAAAACAUAGGUCAAUCAGAACAACAGCUGAUGACGAACCCAAACAAAACGCUUCAGCAUCAAGAAACUCUGUUUUUCGAGGGAGGUGAACAUAAACUACAAGAAUAAUGACAACAACACCCACUUUGACAACUAGGGAAAUAAAAAAUACUGCUACGGGAAUUGACAUAAAUGUUCCAACAGUGAAGGAGAAGGUGGGACGAUUACUGACUGAUGAGGAAUUCCAAGUUAUUGUUAUCACCAAUAAUCCAGUUUUUAAACAAGAAUCUGCCAAGUCGACAGACUGUGUUCAAUUCAUGGUACCUAAAAGAUACAACCAAUUUGAGGCCCUACAUAAAGCAUUAGGAGAAAAAUAUCCAGCCACUGUCUUGCCGGUUCUCCCAAAAAAAUUACUUAUGUUGAAGGAUAGCACAUUGUCAGAGAGACGCAACGCAUUUGACAAAUUGAUGAAGGCAAUCGCCGUAAACCCAAAGAUUUGUUUCAGUAGCAUUGUACUUGCAUUUCUUGGCCUCACAAAGGAACAAAUAAAGAAGGCUGAAGUACCAUGUGCUCAGAAAUCAGAAGAAAUUGAUGGCGACAACAAAAACAAAUUGACCAAGGAACCAAAUGAUAGAAGCCAACUCGAAGAAGUAAACCUUUUUGCAGACGUCGAAGAUCAAGAUGAUGAUCUUGAACUGUUUGGGAGUGAAAAAGCUACAAGUAUGAGCAGUAAAGUCAACAACACUAGAAAUGAGGAUGAGCCACCAAAACAGGAUGAUCUCAUUGCCUUGAUGCGAGAAGCUGACCCAAAACCGGAGAAACCAAAAAUAAAAGGUUGUACCCAGUUUCCAGAAGUUGCUCAAGAUACUUUCCAAGUUGUUCCAGAUUGCAAAAUGUUGAUCCGGGUAUCUCAACAUCACAAAAGUUUUUUCAUCAAAUUGCCUAGCCACCUUACACAGAAUGUCUGCAAGAUUUUUCCGAGAUUCUGAUUGCACCAGGCAGUGCAAUUUAUUUCUCAAAAUUGCAUAAAGUUUUUUCAGCCAGUGUCACCAGGUAGCAAUCUGUUACUCAAGAUUACCAAGUUGUUUCAUCAUUGCACCAGGCUGCACUAGUCUACACAAAGCAAUACCAGAUUGUUCCAGAUUACACCAGAUUGCACUAAAUUGAUCAAGAUGAAACCAAUCUAGAUUUUACUGAAGUUCAUAUUUAUAACCACUUUUUUACUCUCGCUAUGAUACAUGCAAUUACUAUAUUCCAGAUUCUACCAGUUUGCACCAGUUACAAUUAGAUUUCAAUCAGAGGAAAACAUCUGAUACUGCUAAUUGAUUGAAGAUAUUUGACAGAAGCCCCUCAUAUAGGAGUUUACACCCUUGUCUCCUCAGGGAAACCACUUGCAAACUACUUGACCUAGAAG
rnacentral:misc_RNA from 1 species